UCCCCUCCCCCCUCUCCGCGCUCUGCUCUCGCCGCUAGAUUUUGGUUCUGAUGCGUGUGAUGGUCCCUUUGAUUCUCGGGGAUUUCGGUUUAUGGCUUGUCAGGGUUGUGGAUGAAGCCGGGACCGCUCAGUUACGUCUUGCUUUACUGCUUGUUUGCUAGAGGCAGAGCUUUGCACGGGCGAGAAUUGAAACGUCCAUGGGAAUUGAGAAAGCCUAAUUUUGUUACGAGGGAAUGUGGUCUCCAUGCAUUUGGAUGUGUCGUAUCUACUGAUAAAUGCUUAAAUGUGCAUCUGGAGGUUAAUCUGGUUUGUAAAUUCUACACAGUUGUGAUUCAGUUGCUGCUAUGCUAAUAUAUGAUGCACGUGCGCUUA